AGAGUUUGAUCCUGGCUCAGGAUGAACGCUGGCGGCGGNNUAAUACAUGCAAGUCGAGCGAACAGAUAAGGAGCUUGCUCCUUUGACGUUAGCGGCGGACGGGUGAGUAACACGUGGGUAACCUACCUAUAAGACUGGAAUAACUCCGGGAAACCGGGGCUAAUGCCGGAUAACAUGUUGAACCGCAUGGUUCUACAGUGAAAGACGGUCUUGCUGUCACUUAUAGAUGGACCCGCGCCGUAUUAGCUAGUUGGUGGGGUAACGGCCUACCAAGGCGACGAUACGUAGCCGACCUGAGAGGGUGAUCGGCCACACUGGAACUGAGACACGGUCCAGACUCCUAUGGGAGGCAGCAGUAGGGAAUCUUCCGCAAUGGGCGAAAGCCUGACGGAGCAACGCCGCGUGAGUGAUGAAGGUCUUCGGAUCGUAAAGCUCUGUUGUUAGGGAAGAACAAAUGCGUAAGUAACUGUGCACAUCUUGACGGUACCUAACCAGAAAGCCACGGCUAACUACGUGCCAGCAGCCGCGGUAAUACGUAGGUGGCAAGCGUUAUCCGGAAUUAUUGGGCGUAAAGCGCGCGUAGGCGGUUUUUUAAGUCUGAUGUGAAAGCCCACGGCUCAACCGUGGAGGGUCAUUGGAAACUGGAAAACUUGAGUGCAGAAGAGGAAAGUGGAAUUCCGUGUGUAGCGGUGAAAUGCGCAGAGAUAUGGAGGAACACCAGUGGCGAAGGCGGCUUUCUGGUCUGCAACUGACGCUGAUGUGCGAAAGCGUGGGGAUCAAACAGGAUUAGAUACCCUAGUAGUCC
rnacentral:rRNA from 1 species